rnacentral:lncRNA from 1 species
GGACGUGAACAAGAGGAUAAAGGCCCUGGAUAACUCCAAUGGAACCAACUCGCAUACUCAGAUCAUCAUCUUUGGUUAUGGCAACAUAAGCACCAUCAACUCCCGACCGACAACUCAUCGAAUCAACUUCUACUCAGACUCCAGCGGGCAUUGCUGAUCCACGUACAAAACUGCCUCACGAUGGUCAAAUCAUCAACCACGCUACGGUAGGUGAGAUGAGUUCUAAGGAACCUCGAUCCCUUUACUCUGCUCAAGUACUCUAAAUGGAGCCGCGACACCUGAAUUUAUAGCAGUUAAAUUACAUAGUCAAUCAAUUGGAACCUUACAGUCAAAUUUUCAAGUUUUCAACCAAUGAGAGCAACUUUAUAAUUUAUCAACACAAAACAAUUGAUGAAAAAUGAAGAAAACCUAGUAAACACUGAGAUUAAUCCCUAUAACAGCAAAUUUGAUCUUGUCUAGUGAAUAAGGCAAGUUCAAACUAUGCCAUAGAUUUAACGGUAUACAACUCCUUGGUCACUUGAAAAAUCUCAUCAUCCAGAGUUAUUAUCUAUAUGUAAAGCAUUCGCCAUGUGGAGUUAUUAUUUUGGAAUAGGUUAACUAGUCUACUUAUUAAUUUCCAUAAAGUAACUUCUUCAUUAAUUAAUUACAAUUAAAAUUGUAUAUUGAAAAUUGAUGUUGGCCAAUGGGAGGCUACAAUGUCUCUGUGAGUAAUUCCGACUCCCAGAAGAGUGGAUUGUUGUGGCAAAGUCACCAGCUAAUUCCCUUUUUAAAAUGAAAAAAAAAAUUGCAUUGUUAUUGGCACUCUCAAAUAAUCAUUCAACACUCAUUGAUUUUUUUUCUUUUUUUGACAAACGAUAGGAUAAGAUUAAGAAUGUUACAACAAUAAUCAAAAUAUCAAUGAAUGAACAUAUCUUACAAAAAUGAGGAUGCUCAACAAUACAAUAGAAUAACGCGAAGAGCACUAUAUACAAAAGUACAGAAAAAGUAAGAACUACCUCAUUCAACAGGGAAAAGGAAGUGUCGCUAGGUUCUGAUGACUUCAGCAACUUUUCAUUAUUCCCCAGUCAGAUCCUCACACUGGAAAGAUAAGGAGGCACAAAAUGAAUACAAGAAAUGAUAGAUAAAACUAACAAAAGACAAAACAAUAAGACUGCUGGAAAUGUGCCCUAAAACCAAUCAUAUGAUGAUAAUUUACGAACAUUUCACAUGUUAAACUAAUCUGGUUUAAUAUAUAAAGGGCAAAGAUUAUUGUUUAAAGUCAUCUCAUAUAAAUGUUAUAUGCUUUAACUAUAAGUUCAAAGAAUAUGUAAUUGGGAGAAUGUGAUCUAAAGAAGUUAGAUUCAUGAGACCAUUCUCUUUCAUAUACAUAUCCUAAAUGUUCUUGAUUAUAGGAUUGCCAAUUGGGCAUUGACAGUCCGUUAAGAUCAGUACGUGCUAUGUCUUCUCUCAGGAAGAAUGACUGGUCUCAAGUUAUUGAUGUGACUGACACCAAGACAAGUACAUAGGUGCUCAAUAGAGAAUGAGUUCACUGAACACGAUCAACAAUGAGUUCUCAUACUCAUGUCACAUGAGAACUCAUGGUUGGGAUAAUGCAAAGUAGUCCUUUGACCUAAGGCAUCAUAGAUGUAUUGUGGUUAGGUCCUUGAUCUUUGACUAUGUUAAAGUCACUUCGUCAGAGGGUGUCCACGGCAUAGUUGGGGUUAAGCCACUUAACCAUGGAGGCAAGUGAAUGCGCAACAAGGGAUCUCUAACCUAUAAACCGUUUGAGGAAGAAUACUCUAUGAUAUGAUUAAGAAUCUCUGGCCAGAGUAUGAAUAAGAUUUAGGAAGUCAUUCCAAAUCACAUUCAAGGUAAUCAUAUAAGUAAAAGUAUCACAUUGGAUAGUAGACAUGAAUAAACUAUCAAACCAAACAAUGUGGUCAAGAAUAUUGUAUUAGAGAAAGACCGUAUUGCAUUGUAAUCUUAAACUAAAUAGGUUCUCCACCUCUUCUGAUUAGCUUGGGUAGCCAAGACAUACUACUAGGUGUCGCUCAUGGUUUGUGGAAGCCCCCUAAAGGUGUAUAAUCACUAAAGGGAGAAUUGAAAGUAAGUUUCAAUUCACAAUCGAUGUGAAGAGUUCUAAUCACCCACUGCCUCGCUAAAAGGAACAUAAUUGAUCGUACACCGAGUAAGGUAGAGAUUGAAGAAAAAACGGAGAUGAGUAAGGAUAAUUAAAUGGUUUAAAUUUUUAUGGCUAGGAUUAAUUAAUAUGUUAAUUAAUCAAAUGAAUAAGUUCAUUAUAGACCUCGGGUUAGUUUUGGGCCGCAAGACCCAUUGGGAUUUGAAUGUCAAGUCCAAUAAUUCAAGUUGUACGACAACUUGAAACACAAAGGGCCUCAAAGCCCAAAGAACCCAAUAUGGCUGGCCAUAAGAGGAAUGGGUAGUGAACUUGGCUUAAUUGCAAGUUUGCCACUCCAUUGUGAGGUGGUAUAAAGGCAACUUUAUAGCCAUUUCAUCCUUAGGGUUUCUUUUGGAGAAAAGAUGAGAACACAAAGCUAUCUUGACUCUUUAGGAGGCCGGCCACCUUGGAGAAAAUUACUAGCAUCUAUUUCCUCCAAGGUCACUCAUCUCUUCAUCAAUGCUCUCCUUGGUGUGGAGACUUAGAGGCUCUCUAUUUGGAGAACUUGGAGAAUCCUUUCAACCAUCAUCCACCAAGAAAUCCAUGGAGCUAAGAAGCAAGAAAUGAAGGCCUCUCCUUGGGUGAUUAGCAUUUGCUUAUGCAAAGAGGAAUCAACAAAGAUAUAAGAUUUCUCAACUCACUUUGUUUUUGAGUUGAGUCUUGGUUCACCAUAACUACUAGGCUUUGAAUUUCAUGGGUACAAUUUUGUUUUUGAGUGCAUACAAGCAUGAUUCCGCCUUUAAUUGUUAAUUGCAUGUUGUAGAUGUUGCUUAAAUGAACUUGUUUUUCACAAAUUUUCCUUCAAAGACAACAAUCGAAUCUCGAACAGAUAAUAAAGAAAUUUUUGGGUAAUCAGAUAGCAGAUUAAUCAAAGUCACAACUCUCGUAAACGAGUCAAGUGGUAGGACUACUACUAGUACGUUGAAACAAGAUACCAACUUGACAACUAAACUGACACUAAAAUGCUUGCCUCCAUUUCUUGUAGUUACUUCCUCUAGUGAGAAUUGGAACACUUGUAAGAUUGAGAGUCUUAAGUGAAACUGCAGACAUAUUCAAAAUGAAAUCUCAACAAAAGAACCAAAAAGUUCUUGAUUUCAAUCUACUUUCACUUAAUUCACAAUGCUUAUGAAUCAAUUUAGUCAUAUAUAUGGAUUUCUUAUUAAUAUGAAAAAGCAUAUAUAAAUUAAACAACUCAUUUGUGAAUUUAUGAAUCUCAAUCAUUACGCAGAUCAUGAUUUCAAUUGAAACAGGAAAACCAAAAGAAAACAGCAUAAAGGUCAAUAAAUUGCAAACAAGGAAUCAAAAGUAUUGCAUAAGCUUUGUUUAACGAUCUUGAACAACAUGGUAUGAAAUCCAGAACAUCUCUUUAUAUAUUACUCUUAUCAAUACAAGAGGGAUCAAGAAAACAGAAAAUACCUCAAUUUGCAGACAUCAUAAUCAACACAACGGAAGCAAUGGAUACUUAAGAAUUUUGAAUUAUGAUGUUUGGGAGAGAUUGAUUUUGUCAGAUCACAACAUGGAUCUCUAGAGAUAAACAAGACGAAGAUUCCCAACUCCAUAUAUAGAUUGAAAGAUCGAGGGUUGUUUUCCCCUUUUGAAUCGAUAACGGUAAAAAAAAUUUAAAAGUAAUUUAAAAACCCAGUUUUCUUUUAUGCAACCAACGGUCAUAAAAUUAAAAGAGUACCCAAGGUAUAAAAUAUCGAUGAUAUCGGAAAUAUCGGUAGUCAAAAAACACGGAAAUUUUGAUGGAAAUAUCGGGAUAUUAUCGAUAUCGAUAAAAAUUGAACAAAAACCACGGAAAUUGUAAGAAAAACUUGGAAAUUUUUAUUGAAACUUUGCAAGAUGUUUAUUUAGUCAAUUAUCUAUUAGUUUAUCACAAAAAAUUGGAAGGAAAUGCAUUGCAUGAUAGAUAUAACUGAUUUAAGUUGAUUAUAUAACGAGCUGGCAAACAUUGUGAGUGUAGAAAAUAUGUAGUAAUUAAUGAAAGAAGUUUAAACACACCAUAAUCAUUUAUAUAUAAUGAAUUAGUACAAUAUUUUACACUUUAUACAUUGCAUGGUAAGAUACAUGAGUGACUUAGCAAGGUCUAAAAUAUCGAUGAUAUCGGAAAUAUCGGUAGUCCAACAAAAUAUCGGUAGUCCAAAAACACGAAAAUUUCGAUGGAAAUAUCGGGAUAUUAUGGAUAUUUUAGACCAUGAGAGUACCUACGACGUCGUAUAGAACAGGCUUGUUCUUUUAACUCAGUUUGCAAUUUGUUUUGCAGAGUUGAAGAAUUAUUCAAGAUUAAAUUUAAAUGAAAAAUCCAUUGGCUCUCAUACUACCACAUGUUAGUUUAAACAAAGGAUUUGACACAACCACCAAGAACACAAGGAUCAAUCAAGUAAAUCACAUAUCUUGAACUACAUAAAUCAUGAUCAAGUAAAACAUAAAACAUACUAAUCGAUACAUACCUACAGACAUCUUCAUGGAUGUAGAAGCCAUGUAAAUCUGCACACAAACUUCUCCUCUCUGCAAAGCACAAUGCUCUCAAUUUAUAGGCAAUUGGAACAAAAAGAGCGCAUCCUUUGUGAGGGCAGGGGUUGUGGUUUUAUAUUGCAAGUUUUGGACCACCUAUAACAAUCCUACAAGGAAUAUGAAACUAAAUCCUUGUACAAUCAUGAGUACUAAACUCAAGUACCAAGCACAGUUCUAAUCCAAACCAAAACAGGAUUCACUCUCAUAAACACACUGAGACUUCCCUAUACUAAUCUGAAAUAACUAAACCGUGUGAAUCACACUCAUACUCUAACAUUGAAUGCCUUCCAACCUUGGCCAUUAAGUUUCUCCAACUAUUUUAAUUAACAAAACAAUUUGGUUUCUGUUAUAAAAUGAGGAGAGCACACCCCCACACAACGCAAGCCACACGGCAAGGAAGAAAGAAAUGGGAAGGAAGAGAGAAAACGAGAGGAAGAAGAAUAGGGAGAAAAUAAUGUGAGUUAUCCCCGUACUUCUAUUAUUUCUGAUUAUAAAUAAAAGCACUAUUGCUGUCUGGAGAAUGUACUCCAGUCACACUGAUUGUAGAGGAAUCUCGUAAAUAUUGUGUCUUGUUUCAUUUAUUCCACUGCACACACACCGCCGAUUUCACAACAUAUUCUUAUUUAUUUGAAGGCCAAUAUAUAGUGCACAAAGCUAAAGAUAAAGAAGAGAAAUUAAUUCUAAUGGAAACAAAUGCUACUAGCUAAUAGGAAACAAAUCCUACUAUAAUAGGAAACAAAUCCUACUAAUA